GGGCUCGUAGCUCAACGGCAGAGCAGGCGGCUCUUAACCGUCAGGUUGGGGGUUCAAGUCCCUCCGGGCCCACCA
rnacentral:tRNA from 1 species